GACGAACGCUGGCGGCGUGCCUAAUACAUGCAAGUCGAGCGGAACUGGGGGAGCUUGCUCCUUCCAGUUUAGCGGCGGACGGGUGAGUAACACGUGGGCAACCUGCCCUGCAGAUCGGGAUAACUCCGGGAAACCGGUGCUAAUACCGAAUAGUUUGGCGCCUCUCCUGAGGCGCUACGGAAAGACGGUUUCGGCUGUCACUGCAGGAUGGGCCCGCGGCGCAUUAGCUAGUUGGUGGGGUAACGGCCCACCAAGGCGACGAUGCGUAGCCGACCUGGGAGGGUGACCGGGCACACUGGGACUGAGACACGGCCCAGACUCCUACGGGAGGCAGCAGUAGGGAAUCUUCCGCAAUGGACGCAAGUCUGACGGAGCGACGCCGCGUGAGUGACGAAGGUUUUCGGAUCGUAAAACUCUGUUGUGAGGGAAGAACACGUACCAACUAACUAUUGGUACCUUGACGGUACCUCACCAGAAAGCCACGGCUAACUACGUGCCAGCCGCCGCCGUAA
rnacentral:rRNA from 1 species